GAUGAACGCUGGCGGCGUGCCUAAUACAUGCAAGUCGAGCGAACGGACGAGAAGCUUGCUUCUCUGAUGUUAGCGGCGGACGGGUGAGUAACACGUGGAUAACCUACCUAUAAGACUGGGAUAACUUCGGGAAACCGGAGCUAAUACCGGAUAAUAUUUUGAACCGCAUGGUUCAAAAGUGAAAGACGGUCUUGCUGUCACUUAUCGAUGGAUCCGCGCUGCAUUAGCUAGUUGGUAAGGUAACGGCUUACCAAGGCAACGAUGCAUAGCCGACCUGAGAGGGUGAUCGGCCACACUGGAACUGAGACACGGUCCAGACUCCUGCGGGAGGCAGCAGUAGGGAAUCUUCCGCAAUGGGCGAAAGCCUGACGGAGCAACGCCGCGUGAGUGAUGAAGGUCUUCGGAUCGUAAAACUCUGUUAUUAGGGAAGAACAUAUGUGUAAGUAACUGUGCACAUCUUGACGGUACCUAAUCAGAAAGCCACGGCUAACUACGUG
rnacentral:rRNA from 1 species